rnacentral:rRNA from 1 species
AUACUACAGAAAUUCAGAGAAUAUUUGUCCUCAAAAGAUAUUGGGAUCCACACUCCAAAGCUGAUUUCAGGGUCAAGUGAAGGUGGAGCAGCAGUAUUCAAACUUGAAUAUAAGAAUGGCAAGUGUGCUUGUUUAGCACAAUCCCCUCAGCUGCACAAGCAGCUGGCUAUCUGUGGUGGGUUCCGUCGUGUCUUAGAGGUUGGGGAUGUGUUUAGAGCUGAAGAUUCCAACACACAUAGGCAUCUGUGUGAGUUUGUUGGUUUGGACGCUGAAAUGGAGAUUAUGAGGCACUCCUUUGAGAUUUGCGAUAUUGUGGAUGGAUUAUUUGUAGAAUUGUUCAGACACUUGAAUGAAAAUUGGAAGACGGAACUCGAGGCAUUUAAUAGGCAGUAUCCAUUUGAACUAGUGAAGUACCUAGAGGGUAUCUUGAGGCUCAGUUACGAGGAAGGAAUACAACUGUUGAAGGUACAAACAUGUAGCAAUUUCAUUACCACCCUGAUGUUUUUCUCUCAUCAUUUGAAUUUUAUACUGUUCUCGUGCAGUAUAUAA